CCUACGGGAGGCAGCAGUGGGGAAUAUUGGGCAAUGGGCGCAAGCCUGACCCAGCAACGCCGCGUGAAGGAAGAAGGCUUUCGGGUUGUAAACUUCUUUUCUGAGGGACGAAGAAAGUGACGGUACCUCAGGAAUAAGCCACGGCUAACUACGUUCCAGCAGCCGCGGUAAUACGUAGGUGGCAAGCGUUAUCCGGAUUUAUUGGGUGUAAAGGGCGUGUAGCCGGGCUGACAAGUCAGAUGUGAAAUCCGGGGGCUCAACCCCCGAACUGCAUUUGAAACUGUUGGUCUUGAGGAUCGGAGAGGCAGGCGGAAUUCCUAGUGUAGCGGUGAAAUGCGGAGAUAUUAGGAGGAACACCAGUGGCGAAGGCGGCCUGCUGGACGACAACUGACGGUGAGGCGCGAAAGCGUGGGGAGCAAACAGGAUUAGAUACCCCAGUAGUC
rnacentral:rRNA from 1 species